GGCUUUUUAGUUUAAAAAAAAUGCUGGUUUUGUAAACCUGUGAUAGUCUUUGUACUAUUGGCCU
rnacentral:tRNA from 3 species